rnacentral:tRNA from 1 species
GCUCCUAUCGUUUAAAUGGUUAAAGGCAAUACUUUUUCGUAGUAUAAAUGUGAGUUCAAACCUCACUGGGAGUA